ACUGUGGCUCAGUUGGUAGAGCAGCUGAUUCGUAAUCAGCAGGUCGCCGGUUCAAGUCCGGCCAGU
rnacentral:tRNA from 7 species